CUGAAACUUUUCCUACAGGCAAGGAGUUGCUUCCCUUCUUUACGCUGCCCCCCGCCCAGUACAAAUGCCUUUCGCUCUGCCCCUUCUCCCUUCCUGCCCCUUAGGCCCAGGCUUCCUGCCCCCAAACACUUUUGCGACGUCCCCUCUUUCUCUUCUCAUCCUACUUCCUUCAAACUCCUCCUGGAAACCAUUGUGUCUGAGAAUAUUUCAGCCUAGGGAGCCAAAAUGGAGUCCUCUAUCUGUUCUUGGGCUCCAGAUACCUUUACUCCAACGGCCAAAGAGCGAUGGAGUACACUACCUGGGCUGCCCCUGUUUAGACCUUGUUCUUGGCAGACAUAAGGCUUGAGCUUAAGUAUCGCCGCUUGGUCCAGCCCAUCCAUCGCUACUUUUCCUCACUUCUCUCUUUCCUUCCAUACCUCAGCUCCUGUUGUUGCUGACUUGAUUUAUUGCCCGCCCUCUCUUGAAAUACCAACAUUAGUGGAGCGGCAGACAAAAAUGGCUGAAUAUGUGGAAUUAGCAAAACUGACCCACAGAAUCCGUAACCAAGAAGAAACAAAGCUCAGACAUGGGUGGAGUAAAUUUGUGGAGUAUAUACGUCAUAAUUGCAGAAGUUUAAAGACUGUAGUAGGAUUAAAAUCUUAUGGUGUGAAUAGGAUGUUAUUAAGAAUCUGUGAUAAAUGAAAGAUUACAUCCCAGCCAACUGCCAUGAAUAUUUUUUGCCUUCUCUUUGCUGGACUGUUCUUGGUCUUCCUGCCUAAUUCAGGCAUAGCAGACUUUGUCACCCUGGGCUGCUUCGUCCGAGGCGGGAAAUGCGAAACGGACAUUUGCAAAGAAAACGAAGAACAGAUUGGAAACUGCUCCAGAACUGAAAAAUUGUGCUGUAAGAAACCAAAAUAAACGGCGUCUCCUGGAUGCCAGGGGACUUCCUUUA